rnacentral:rRNA from 1 species
UACCUGGUUGAUCCUGCCAGUAGUCAUAUGCUUGUCUUAAAGAUUAAGCCAUGCAUGUCUAAGUAUAAGCAUUUAUACCGCGAGACUGCGAACGGCUCAUUAAAACAGUUAUGGUUUAUUUGAUGGUUCCUUUGCUACUUGGAUAACCGUAGUAAUUCUAGAGCUAAUACAUGCACGAAGGGGCGACUCACGAAGCCCUGUAUUUAUUAGAUUAAAGCCAACCACCUCCGGGUGUUCGUGGUGAAUCAUAGUAACUUUUCGGAUCGCCGGCUCAACGCCAGCGACGUGUCAUUCAAAUUUCUGCCCUAUCAGCUUUAGAUGGUAGGAUAUGGGCCUACCAUGGCGGUGACGGGUAACGGAGAAUUAGGGUUCGAUUCCGGAGAGGGAGCCUGAGAAACGGCUACCACUUCUAAGGAAGGCAGCAGGCGCGCAAAUUACCCAAUCCUGACUCAGGGAGGUAGUGACAAGAAAUAACAAUAAACCGGCUUAUGCCGGUUUAAUUGGAAUGAGUACAAUUUAAACAUCUUAACGAGGAACAAUUGGAGGGCAAGUCUGGUGCCAGCAGCCGCGGUAAUUCCAGCUCCAAUAGC